ACACACAGUGUUAGGCAUGGAACACACAGUGUCAGGCAUGGAACACACAGUGGUAAGCAUGGAACACACAGUGUUAGGCAUGGAACACACACAGGUGUUCAACACACCUCUGCACAGAGCCCUGCACUCAGCACAGCCUGGGGGUUGCAUUACAAGCCCAAACAAGAGUGCAUUGUCCAACAAGCAGCUACGAGCUCCCACUCUGCCAUUUGACUAAAGAGAGGCUGCAGAACCAUUUAACCUUUUGGACAUACUUGUCAAAGGGAAGGAAGAGUGGAGGGAAGAAUUUCAGCAAUGCCACACACCACAUUUGCAGCUUUUGUUAAUGCAGUAGUUGAGUAUCACUGGAGCUACACCCGUAGCACCCAAUGACGUGGGAACAAAAAGGAGAGCAUGGCAUAGCCAGGACUUAACUGCAUGUGGGAAAGAUAGAGAAGAGCAGGGAAAGUGGAGGGCCUCUCCUCAAAACCACAGAUAUCUGCACUCAUGCUGGCUCCCAAGAAGUCUUGAAAGCAAGAAGAAUGUGGAAAUGGAAUUACUGAGGAUUCCCUCUCUGGAAGAGGUCACAGGAGAGAAGAGGGCAGACAGAGCCACAAGUUGGGUCAGGAGUGAAGAUGCUGUGCUGCUGUGGCCAGGUACCCAAGCAGCAAAACGACUUCUUCCACAACUCUCAUUGUUCCCUCUGAUCCCCUCCACCCCUGGUAUUAUUUGUAAUUUGAAGCAUGGCUCAACUCUGAAUAGGGUCUCCAAGUAAAUGGAAUCCUACUGUUUCAAUAUUUUUUUCCUGACUCUGAUUUUCUUUGGCAAAGGUAAUCAGAUUUUAAGUAAAAUGAUGUUCUUUUUCCCCCUCCAUCUAAAAGUCCCGUAUGUUCACUGUGUGAUCUGAGAGUCAAGCUGGGUUCUUCUUUACACCUUACACACUUACAUGAAUAAGAGUCUGCAAGCUAAAUGAGGCUUUUCCACUUGCCUGUGAUAGAUCUUGCAACUGGAAUAUAAGGCCAACUGAGACUAUGGCAUUUUCUCCAAAUUCUUUUCUUUUUCUUUAAUGACUUGGAAGGCAGAAUGGACUGACGUAAAAAGCCAGUACAGGAAAUCACACUUUAAAGGAUGCAGAUACCUUGCAGGACAGAAGUGGAAUUCAAAAUUAUUUUGAUAGAUUGGAGAAAUGAUCUGGAAUGAAGAUGAAAUUCAAUGAAGUCAAGUGACAAAAGAACAAAAACAAAAAAUGGGGAAUAACUGACUAAGCAGUACUGUAGAAAAUGGUCCAGAUCAUGAAGUAAAUCUGUCGGCAAUCAAUUGCUCUUGGAAAUAAGGGAAAUGUCUGAGAUACAAUACCCUUCCACUCCAGCAAACACAUCUCUGGAAAGACUUCAGCUGGAAUAGUCUGUCCACUUCUGGAGUACUAUGGCCAAGUCUGGGCCAUCCACUCUUAAAGGAAUUAGCUGAGAGCCACAGCAAUCAAUGAGUUUAAAGACACAUGCAAACAAACCAACCAACCCCAAAGACUCAAAAGGAAGAAAGGUAGAAGGAUCUAACUGUGUUUUGUAUAAGACAGAAGAAACUCACAGGGAACAGGAUGACAGUCCUCAACUAUAUGAAAAUAUUGUUAUAAAGAAGAGUGAACGCUUGUCCUUGGUGGCUAACACAGAUAGAAGAAGUAAUAAUUGGCAGUUUGCUGCCAUUGCAGGUUAAAUGGAUUAAUGCCCUGUUACAGAUUUCUAGUCUAGUGUUUUGCAGAGGGGAAAGAGCUGCAGAGCACAACUGCUGUGUUCCCAAUGGGAGUGGGUAUGGAGAUCCUGCUGCCCAUGAGCCUCUGGCAGAGCCUCCCCUGUACAGCAGCUCCACAGCUCACGCCCAGUGAGAGCCUGAAUUUGGUUUCCACCUGACACCACUUUUGGCUGCACAUGUCUAACAGGUGAAAAUAGUAUAUUCAAACAGAGUUACGGAAACAAAUAAAUAUGAUUCUGAAUACACACAGGAAA